rnacentral:rRNA from 1 species
AGUGAACGCUGGCGGUAGGCCUAACACAUGCAAGUCGAACGGCAGCACAGUAAGAGCUUGCUCUUACGGGUGGCGAGUGGCGGACGGGUGAGGAAUACAUCGGAAUCUACUUUUUCGUGGGGGAUAACGUAGGGAAACUUACGCUAAUACCGCAUACGACCUACGGGUGAAAGCAGGGGAUCUUCGGACCUUGCGCGAUUGAAUGAGCCGAUGUCGGAUUAGCUAGUUGGCGGGGUAAAGGCCCACCAAGGCGACGAUCCGUAGCUGGUCUGAGAGGAUGAUGGGCGACACUGGAACAGAGAGACGGUGCAGACUCCGACGGGAGGCACCAGUAGGGAAGAGGCACAAAAGGUUGCAAGCUUGACGGAGCAAUGGCGCGUGAGUGAAGAAGGGCUGCGGAUCGUAAGAAGCUGUGAGGAGGGAAGAACAUAGGUGAAAGUAACUGGGCACACCGGGAGGGGAGCUAAUAAGAAAGAGACGGCUAACUACGUG